UACGGAGGGUGCAAACGUUGCUCGGAAUCAUUGGGCGUAAAGCGCACGUAGGCGGUCCAGCAAGUCGGGUGUGAAAGCCCUCGGCUUAACCGAGGAAGUGCAUUCGAAACUACUGGACUUGAGUACUGAAGAGGGUCGCGGAAUUCCCGGUGUAGAGGUGAAAUUCGUAGAUAUCGGGGGGAACACCAGUGGCGAAGGCGGCGACCUGGGCAGAUACUGACGCUGAGGUGCGAAAGCGUGGGGAGCAAACAGG
rnacentral:rRNA from 1 species